UGAAAACCAUUAACGGCUCUGGGGCAUAUGAAGUAUGGUUCAAAUAUUUGUUGAUUUAUUUAUAAUGUUUUUUCGCCGGCCCGCGCCAGCAUUUUCACGCGCUUUUCCGCUCACAGAAUUGAGUUUUGUAUGCAAAUAAUUGCCGAGUGCUCUCCCUCCCCCCCAUCCAACCCCCAACGAGUGUGUUUGUGUAGGCUGCUGAGGGUCCAGCACUCAGUCCUGCGGCUGCAAAUUUUGCUGGAAAUUUAAACAAUGAACUGCCAGGCCCAUUAAUAUUACUUUAGGCCACUCGCAACUUUGACUUUGCAGCUCCUUG
rnacentral:lncRNA from 1 species